rnacentral:rRNA from 1 species
GGCGAUCAGAUACCGCCCUAGUUCUGACCGUAAACGAUGCCAACUAGCGAUCCGCCGGUGGCUAUCUGGCCCUGGUGGGGAGCUUCCCGGAAACGAAAGUCUUCCGGUUCCGGGGGAAGUAUGGUUGCAAAGCUGAAACUUAAAGGAAUUGACGGAAGGGCACCACCAGGAGUGGAGCCUGCGGCUUAAUUUGACUCAACACGGGAAAACUCACCCGGCCCGGACACCGUGAGGAUUGACAGAUUGAUAGCUUUUUCAUGAUUCGGUGGUUGGUGGUGCAUGGCCGUUCUUAGUUCGUGGAUCGAUUUGUCUGGUUUAUUCCGAUAACGAGCGAGACUCCAGCCUACUAAAUAGUGCGGGCAUUGCUUCUGUGCCUCGCACUUCUUAGAGGGAUUGGCUGCGUCUAGCGGCACGAAACGGAGCAAUAACAGGUCUGUGAUGCCCUUAGAUGUCCGGGGCUGCACGCGCGCUACACUGGCAAAGGCAGCGUGCUUGUCCAUCUCCGAAAGGAGCUGGUAAACCCUUGAAAAUUUGCCGUGAUUGGGAUCGGAAAUUGCAAUUAUUUUCCGUGAACGAGGAAUUCCUAGUAAGUGCGAGUCAUCAGCUCGCGUUGAUUACGUCCCUGCCCUUUGUA